rnacentral:lncRNA from 1 species
CCAGGGAUGACUGUAACACAUACUCUCUAGUUGGUUGCUCUCUGUGCUUCCAGAGAAGGAUCGAGUUAGGAAAAAAAUAGAGAAAAGGGAAGAAUAACCAAGGUAUAGAAGUUACUUUUGACUUUCCUAGCCAAUCAGCUAACAAGAUCAAGGGGGAAGGUAACCUAUUUACUGGGUGACACCAAAGGAAUUCUGGGGUUCAAUAACAACACUAAUUGCCUAGAGGAAGCAGAUGUGGAUUCAGAGACAGGCCUAUGGUCACCCUAUGACUUCUCACCACAGAAUAGGGAUGUGUUCUCCAAUUCACGUGUCCCAGCUAAGGAAAAGCAACGCAGUGGGAAGAAGAGCUUGAGUUCACAGCCUGGCAGAGUAUGUGUGAACGCCCGUCACGGUAGGACCCAGGAGAAACCCCAACCUUCCUGGACCUCGAUUUCCUCAUCUGUAGAACUGGGAAAGGACUACAGAUUUGCCAGAUUUUGAGCUCUUGAAACAAAAGAUGUCUGGCCUACCAGAUUCAGAACUAUGACCAGUGCUUGUUGAAUGAAUGCCUCUGGGAGACCUGAUCCUGGGUAAACAGCUGUGCCAUUCCUCUAUUCUGGGAGUUCACAGCUAGCAGCAACAUCCCAAGUAUGGCCUUGACCUGCAGGAUGCAGUAAUGAGCAUGUGAGUAUGUGUGUGCUUUGGGGGGAAGUGUGAGGGAGUGUCCAGUGAGGGCUGGACUCCUAGCCAUUUCCCUUGGGCUGGCCAACAGGAUCUUGUAUCAUCUGUCUGCUCUCUGGGGGAACAAACUUUAAAGCAACAUGUGAUCCUGGACUGGUCACUUCCUUCAGGUCUCUACCAUUAUUGCCUCACUUUCUUCUUUUGAUAGUUUUAACAAAAAGAUGUGACUUACCAUACUAGAAGGGACUACUAUCUUUUCAGAGGAGUUGCUUCAGUUUCUUGCUUGGCCACAACCAAAAGAAGUCUGGGGAGUUGCUGCCAAGGAUGGAAUCAAGGAUUUCCAAGAGUGUUCAAUAGCAUUUCCAAAGGCUUUGUGUUGGUUCUUAGGAUUAAAUUAAUAAUCUUUAUUAGUGACGGCAGUAGGUGUUAUUUCACAGAUAGUCUCUAUGCAAGGGUUGUUUUUAGGUGUCUGAGUGGCUCAGUUGGUUAAUCAUCUAACUUGGGCUCAGGUCAUGAUCUCAGGGUCCCUGCAUUGGGCUCUGAGCUCAGCAGGGAGUUUGCUUCUCCCUCCCUGUCCCAAGUAUGGCCUUGGCCUCCAGGAUGCAGUAAUGAGAUGUGAGUGUGUGCUCUUUCUCAAAUACACAAAUAAAAAUCUUUAAAAAAAAAAAAAAAGAAGAAGAAGAAGAAGAAAAUAACCUCAAAACAAUAGUGUUUUCAAAAACUUAACACGUGCCUGCAAAGAAUUA